GACGAACGCUGGCGGCGUGCUUAACACAUGCAAGUCGAACGGAAAGGCCCUGCUUUUGUGGGGUGCUCGAGUGGCGAACGGGUGAGUAACACGUGAGUAACCUGCCCUUGACUUUGGGAUAACUUCAGGAAACUGGGGCUAAUACCGGAUAGGAGCUCCUGCUGCAUGGUGGGGGUUGGAAAGUUUCGGCGGUUGGGGAUGGACUCGCGGCUUAUCAGCUUGUUGGUGGGGUAGUGGCUUACCAAGGCUUUGACGGGUAGCCGGCCUGAGAGGGUGACCGGCCACAUUGGGACUGAGCUACGGCCCAGACUCCUACGGGAGGCAGCAGUGGGGAAUAUUGCACACUGGGCGGAAGCCUGAUGCAGCAACGCCGCGUGCGGGAUGACGGCCUUCGGGUUGUAACCCGCUUUCGCCUGUGACGAAGCGUGAGUGACGGUAAUGGGUAAAGAAGCACCGGCUAACUACGUG
rnacentral:rRNA from 1 species